GAAAAUCCAAACUGGUUUAUGAUAAAGAUGGUAUUCUAAACAGUAAUUAACAGAUCAAUCAAAGAAUUCAGAGCCGGCUUUUCUUUCCAAGAGAUUAGUACAAUUCAAUGCAAACAAAGUGAAGUCAUACAAAAUGUUGGGUGCUGCUGGACAUGCUUGGCAUUAUUUGUAUUUGGAGGAGAUUUUCCUGUUGUAGGGAAACUGAAAUUUGAUAUCGUUGUUGUGUCUCUGCUGCUGCUGCUUGAAUAACCUGCAAAAAUUAAACCAAAUCACAAUGGUCACUAUCAAAACCACACAUCAACACUUUCAUUCACAUUGCUAUCUAAAUCUCUCAAUUCAACAACACUUACUGCCUUGUGUUGUGUUGUGUCCCUUCCAAACCCACCAAAAACA
rnacentral:lncRNA from 1 species